rnacentral:rRNA from 1 species
UACGUAGGUGGCAGCGUGUCGGAUUCGAUCUGGGUGUAAAGCGCGUGUAGGCGGCAGACCAAGUCGGCGGUGAAAGCGCCCGGCUCAACUGGGCGAGGUCCGUGGAAACUGGUCAGCUGGAGGACGGUAGAGGCGAGUGGAAUUCCCGGUGUAGUGGUGAAAUGCGUAGAGAUCGGGAGGAACACCUGUGGCGAAGGCGGCUCGCUGGGCCGGUCCUGACGCUGAGACGCGAAGG